rnacentral:rRNA from 1 species
GACGAGGGGUCCAAGCGUUGUUCGGAAUUAUUGGGCGUAAAGCGGGUGUGAGGUGGCUCUGUAAGUCAGGAGUGAAAGCCCCGAGCUUAACUUGGGAAGUGCUUUUGAUACUGCAGAGCUUGAGUGUGGGAGAGGAUCGUGGAAUUCCAGGUGUAGUGGUGAAAUACGUAGAUAUCUGGAGGAACACCGGUGGCGAAGGCGG